rnacentral:rRNA from 1 species
CCUACGGGUGGCAGCAGUGAGGAAUAUUGGUCAAUGGCCGCGAGGCUGAACCAGCCAAGUCGCGUGAGGGAUGACGGCCCUAUGGGUUGUAAACCUCUUUUGUAGGGGAGUAAAGAGCAGGAUGUGUCCUGCUUUGCAUGUACCUGAUGAAUAAGCAUCGGCUAACUCCGUGCCAGCAGCCGCGGUAAUACGGAGGAUCCGAGCGUUAUCCGGAUUUAUUGGGUUUAAAGGGAGCGUAGGCGGUUUUUUAAGUCAGUUGUGAAAGUGUGCGGCUCAACCGUAACAUUGCCGUUGAUACUGUGAGCCUUGAGUACACGCGAGGUAGGCGGAAUUCGUGGUGUAGCGGUGAAAUGCUUAGAGAUCACGAAGAACUCCGAUUGCGAAGGCAGUGUGCUGGAGUAAAACUGACGCUGAUGCUCGAAAGUGCGGGUAUCAAACAGGAUUAGAUACCCCAGUAGUC